rnacentral:rRNA from 1 species
ACUCCACAUACGCAUCCUUUGCUGAGGAUACGGUUAACGGAGCGAAAGCGACGUUCAACCGCAAAAGAAGCAGAGGGGGCUUAGUGGUGGGGUGACUGCGUACCUUUUGUAUAAUGGGUCAGCGACUUAUAUUCUGUAGCAAGGUUAACCGAAUAGGGGAGCCGUAGGGAAACCGAGUCUUAACCGGGCGUUAAGUUGCAGGGUAUAGACCCGAAACCCGGUGAUCUAGCCAUGGGCAGGUUGAAGGUUGGGUAACACUAACUGGAGGACCGAACCGACUAAUGUUGAAAAAUUAGCGGAUGACCUGUGGCUGGGGGUGAAAGGCCAAUCAAACCGGGAGAUAGCUGGUUCUCCCCGAAAGCUAUUUAGGUAGCGCCUCGUGAAUUCAUCUCCGGGGGUAGAGCACUGUUUCGGCUAGGGGGCCAUCCCGGCUUACCAACCCGAUGCAAACUGCGAAUACCGGAGAAUGUUAUCACGGGAGACACACGGCGGGUGCUAACGUCCGUCGUGAAGAGGGAAACAACCCAGACCGCCAGCUAAGGUCCCAAAGUCAUGGUUAAGUGGGAAACGAUGUGGGAAGGCCCAGACAGCCAGGAUGUUGGCUUAGAAGCAGCCAUCAUUUAAAGAAAGCGUAAUAGCUCACUGGUCGAGUCGGCCUGCGCGGAAGAUGUAACGGGGCUAAACCAUGCACCGAAGCUGCGGCAGCGACGCUGAUGCGUUGUUGGGUAGGGGAGCGUUCUGUAAGCCUGCGAAGGUGGCCUGUGAGGGUUGCUGGAGGUAUCAGAAGUGCGAAUGCUGACAUAAGUAACGAUAAAGCGGGUGAAAAGCCCGCUCGCCGGAAGACCAAGGGUUCCUGUCCAACGUUAAUCGGGGCAGGGUGAGUCGACCCCUAAGGCGAGGCCGAAAGGCGUAGUCGAUGGGAAACGGGUUAAUAUUCCCGUACUUGGUGUUACUGCGAAGGGGGGACGGAGAAGGCUAUGUUGGCCGGGCGACGGUUGUCCCGGUUUAAGCGUGUAGGUGUGUGUUCCAGGUAAAUCCGGUUCACUUUAACACUGAGGCGUGAUGACGAGGCACUACGGUGCUGAAGCAACAAAUGCCCUGCUUCCAGGAAAAGCCUCUAAGCAUCAGGUAACAUCAAAUCGUACCCCAAACCGACACAGGUGGUCAGGUAGAGAAUACCAAGGCGCUUGAGAGAACUCGGGUGAAGGAACUAGGCAAAAUGGUGCCGUAACUUCGGGAGAAGGCACGCUGACACGUAGGUGAAGUGAUUUACUCAUGGAGCUGAAGUCAGUCGAAGAUACCAGCUGGCUGCAACUGUUUAUUAAAAACACAGCACUGUGCAAACACGAAAGUGGACGUAUACGGUGUGACGCCUGCCCGGUGCCGGAAGGUUAAUUGAUGGGGUCAGCGCAAGCGAAGCUCCUGAUCGAAGCCCCGGUAAACGGCGGCCGUAACUAUAACGGUCCUAAGGUAGCGAAAUUCCUUGUCGGGUAAGUUCCGACCUGCACGAAUGGCGUAAUGAUGGCCAGGCUGUCUCCACCCGAGACUCAGUGAAAUUGAACUCGCUGUGAAGAUGCAGUGUACCCGCGGCAAGACGGAAAGACCCCGUGAACCUUUACUAUAGCUUGACACUGAACAUUGAGCCUUGAUGUGUAGGAUAGGUGGGAGGCUUUGAAGUGUGGACGCCAGUCUGCAUGGAGCCGACCUUGAAAUACCACCCUUUAAUGUUU